rnacentral:rRNA from 1 species
AUGCACGCUAGCGGCAGGCCUAAUCCAUGCAAGUCGGACGGGAUCCAUUGAUAGCUUGCUAUCAAUGGUGAGAGUGGCGCACGGGUGCGUAACGCGUGAGCAACCUGCCUCCAUCAGGGGGAUAGCCUCUCGAAAGAGAGAUUAACACCGCAUAAUAUCAACAGUUCGCAUGUUCAGUUGAUUAAAUAUUUAUAGGAUGGAGAUGGGCUCGCGUGACAUUAGCUAGUUGGUAGGGUAACGGCUUACCAAGGCGACGAUGUCUAGGGGCUCUGAGAGGAGAAUCCCCCACACUGGUACUGAGACACGGACCAGACUCCUACGGGAGGCAGCAGUAAGGAAUAUUGGUCAAUGGGCGGAAGCCUGAACCAGCCAUGCCGCGUGCAGGAUGACUGCCCUAUGGGUUGUAAACUGCUUUUGGCCAGGAAUAAACCUAAAUACGAGUAUUUAGCUGAAUGUACUGGAAGAAUAAGGAUCGGCUAACUCCGUG